GCGGAGGAAAAGAAACCAACAGGGAUUGCCUUAGUAACGGCGAGUGAAGCGGCAAAAGCUCAAAUUUGAAAUCGGCCUCCAGGUCGAGUUGUAAUUUGUAGAUUGUACCUUGAGAGCGGAUCAAAGUCUGUUGGAACACAGCGCCUUAGAGGGUGACAGCCCCGUAAGAUCUAUUCUCAUUGUAAGGUACUCUCGAAGAGUCGAGUUGUUUGGGAAUGCAGCUCUAAGUGGGAGGUAAAUUCCUUCUAAAGCUAAAUAUUGACGAGAGACCGAUAGCGAACAAGUACUGUGAAGGAAAGAUGAAAAGCACUUUGAAAAGAGAGUGAAAAAGUACGUGAAAUUGUUAAAAGGGAAGGGUAUUGAAUCAGACGUGGUGCUGUUGUUCAACUUUGUUUCGGCAUGGUGUACUCAACAGUUACUAGGCCAAGGUGGGGUGUUUGGGAGUGAAAAAGGAAUAGGAAUGUAGCUCUUCGGAGUGUUAUAACCUGUUUUCAUAGCUCCUCAGGCGCCUCAGGACUGCGCUUCGGCAAGGACUUUGGCAUAAUGAUUCUAUACCGCCCGUCUUGAAACACGGACCAAGGAGUCUAACGUCUAUGCGAGUGUUUGGGUGUAAAACCCCUACGCGUAAUGAAAGUGAACGUAGAUAGGAGCAGUAAAAUGCGCACUAUCGACCGAUCCUGAAGAUUUCAGAUGGAUUUGAGUAAGAGCAUAGCUGUUGGGACCCGAAAGAUGGUGAACUAUGCCUGAAUAGGGUGAAGCCAGAGGAAACUCUGGUGGAGGCUCGUAGCGGUUCUGACGUGCAAAUCGAUCGUCGAAUUUGGGUAUAGGGGCGAAAGACUAAUCGAACCAUCUAGUAG
rnacentral:rRNA from 1 species